rnacentral:lncRNA from 1 species
GCCAUAGCAGCAGAGUCGAGUAGCUGUGACAGAGGCUAUACGGUCCACAAAGCCUAAAUAUUUAUUACCUGGUGCUUUAUGAAAAAGUUCGCCAAUCUCUGUUAGUUCUUGUUUCCUGCACAUACAGCUCCACUGAAUCUGGGUUAUAGAUCAAUAUCAAGUGUUCCCAUCAAUACAGCUAUCCACGCAGCACACUGGAAGAGAGGGCAGAUGGAGAGCAGGCCGGGCCAAGGCAGCCAAGGGCGUGUGCAGGGCAGCGGCAGCCAGGAAGAGAGACUAUACAGUCAGUAUUACUCCUGCUAAAUACCCAGAGGGACCACAACCAACUUUCCUGGUCUGUGUUCCAUUAUACAAAAGAGGACUACAAAGAAAAGGACUGUGGAAAUAAAUGCAUACUCUUCUUUUGAAAUUCGUGAGGAAUGUUCAUGAUUUUUAACCAUAAGACAGCAAAAUGGGAUAAGGUGAUAAACAAUGCAAACGGUACUGUAACUGUUAAAGAAAAAAAGGAAGAAAUGCAAAGAAAAAAGAAAGUCAUCACUAGGAAUCUUAAAUUCUGAAAAAAAGAGUUCAAAAAGAUCUAAUGGGGAGAAGAGAACUUUCCAACUGUUGUCAUCCUGCUAUUGUAACCUGAGCCCCUCCCAAGUUUUCAGACUCCAAAAUCAGAUCUAAUUAAAAGAAAAUGGAAAAGGACUUGGAGCCUUUUCAGCUCUGGAUAACAUGCAGACAAAUAAAUUAAAAAGGGGGAGAAGUGGAACUAACCCAAUAAUCCGUGAAAAGCUCAUUUCCCUCCCGGCCGCCACUGAUGCAACACUGUCCUUCCUCCCUCCCAUCCUCUGGUUCAGGGGCAGUGAGUGGAGAAAUUGGCUAACAAGAUCAGAAAAUUUAAUUACAGCUCUGCCGUCCCCUUCCGAGAAGUUGGCUGUCACACUUCCCUUUUGCAGAUCGUCGUCUGAAUGUGCUGUCUCUGAUGAGCUUCCCCUCCGCCCCAGUCUCACUCAUCUCCCGACAUCGGCUCGGGACGGUGGACACAGACACUUUAAUUUGGGGGUUUAGAAGGAUUAGAUAUGAAGAUUAAAAGGAGCAGUUGGAGAAGAGAAUGUCGUUAUCCUCUCAUUUCCUUUGGUCUGCCUGAGCAACUUUGCCCAGUCUUAUCCCAAGAGAAGUACUGUGGGAGCCCCAAAGGCUUAGCAUCCUCGCAUUCCAGACCUAAAGAAGCCCUGAGACCCUGUAGAAGGAGCAGACACACCUGCAUUCAAGUGUCUGUUUUGCAUGCUGACUCAGAGAUACAGGAACGGCUUCCUUGAGCAGUGUUUCUAGCAAGAUUCUGAAAUGCUUUGGGCUCAAAACAAACACACGAACAAAAGAAUAAUGUGGUCCAUUAAUGAUUUCUUCCAGGGGGGUAGAAUGCAGAAUGGUGUCAAAAGAACCAAGUGUUUGCCAUUUCUGUUCUAGGGCAGCCAGAGGUUUAUGUCCAAAUCCAGUGUGCAAACCACUGGAGAGUGACAUGGAACAGGUGUCUUCAAAAUUCAAAGUUUAGCCAAUUAAAAAAAGGACUCUUGGUUUGCUUCUCUGUCACUAGGCAAAGCAAGGUAGUCAGACAAACUGUGCAGAGGUUCCCGGCCUUCACGUGACUGAGAUGCUAUUUCUCUUCACAGAAUGUAGUCGGCCCCUAUGUCCUCAGACCACCACAGGUCUCCUCCUAGAUUAGGGCAAGAGACAUAAGCCCAGAAAAGUGACUGUGGUAAUAAGGGGCAGUCUCCUGCUAGUGUGUCAGGGAUCCUUAACUUGGCCCGGUCAAUGCUGCUGGGAAGACAGUGCAGCAGGAGGAAGAGGAGCCAGCCAAGGAAAGACAGGUGGGAAAUGCAUCAUGGUGAACAGGAAAGAUGAGAGUUUUUCUAAAACUUUCUUUCUUAAGAAGGUGUAUCAGUUUGGGUUACAUUUGGCUGCACACAGCGGAACCCCUCCUCUCAUGCCACAAGGAGCCCAGCAGUAGGCAGUCCAAGGCUGCUGCUACUGCUGAGGAAGCUUCAAGGACUCAGGCUCCUUCCAGGUCCUUGUUCCCCCAGUUUCAGCUUGUGAUUUUCAUCCUUAUGGUCACAAGAAGCAGCUUGACCUCUGUGUUCCCUGCAGGAAGAAAGGGAAGGGCAAAGAGGAAAGGCAAAUUGUUUGCCACAUUGAUCAGGAAUAAAAGAGCUUUCCAGAAACCUCCAUCCAGUAGACUCUACUUAUAUCCCAUUAACUGGAACUGGGUCCCAUGGCCACCUCUAACUUCAAGGGCUUUGUCUAAUUAGACACAUUGCUGCCCUGCACUAAUUGGGGAUCUGUCACUAAGGAAAAAGAAGAGCAUGGAUGUUGAGCAGAUGUCUAGCAGUGUCUGCCACCGAGCAAAUAGACAAUGGUGCCAAUAGAAAUGAGAAAUAAGGAAAACAACAGGCUAUGUCACUCAGGGCAUAGGUAGGCUUCUAGUUCAGUUGUCAACUAGGAGCAAGGAGUAAGCAAUGAGGAAACUAAGGCUGUGAUACAAACUCUGCAUUCUGGAAGCCUGGACCUAUGCAUCUUGGCAUAUAAGUCCACCCUGGCCACAAGCAACAUAGAAUGUAUCCUGGACACUCUAUUCCCCACCCAGCGACAUCAGCAGACAGAGGCCUUUCUCCUCCAGUGAAAGGGAGCAGAGAUGGUGAAGAUUCUGACUGAGCUGGAACAUUGCAGCAACAGGCUAUAUCUCCUGGAACUUCCUUUUUCCCUAGAAAGUACCCUUGGGGCUGGGCUGCAUGCCUGGGAGGGCAUCACCUUAGAGAACAUGAAUGAUAAGAAAGAGCAGACAGAGAAACCAAAGCAGAGAGAAUCAUUCAACAGAGGUCUUCAGAUUCCCCUCCACCUUCCCUUGGCCUCCU